rnacentral:lncRNA from 1 species
UAUAAUGUUGAAUUUUCAAAGAGUUAAUGAAUUUCUUGAUUAAUUGAAUUGUGAAUUGAUGUCAUCAUGUUGUCUGAGAUAUAUGUAUGUUAUGAAGUCAGUGUAAUUGGCCUAAGCAUGCUAAAUUAAAGAGAGUACAAGUUCUUGAUUCCUAAGUUUUGCAUUUCCAUAGAAAUGUCAAGAAACAGUCACUUUUGAGUCACACAUUUGAUGGCUAAGUGUUGUUGUAAUCCAUGAGUUGUUGCUAGAUACUAUUAAUAUAGUUAGAAACGAAAACAACGAAAGUAAAACGAACCAAUUUGGUUAAGAAACGAAUUCGUAGUGAAUGAAUUCGCUAAACUUUUCAAAACAUGAAAAUUUAGUAUGAAUAUGAGUUUUGGAUUAUUCUUUGGGUUAGUUAAUGUGUUUGAAGUGUUAUAAUAACUCUGUAGAUGGGUAGCUAAGAGUUUAACGAGUCCAACGAAUAGAAAACCAACUAAUUCGGACUUAAAAUGAGAAAGUUA